rnacentral:rRNA from 1 species
GAUGAACGCCGGCGGCGUGCCUAAUACAUGCAAGUCGAGCGAACAGACGAGGAGCUUGCUCCUCUGACGUUAGCGGCGGACGGGUGAGUAACACGUGGAUAACCUACCUAUAAGACUGGGAUAACUUCGGGAAACCGGAGCUAAUACCGGAUAAUAUCUUGAACCGCAUGGUUCAAUAGUGAAAGACGGUUUUGCUGUCACUUAUAGAUGGAUCCGCGCCGCAUUAGCUAGUUGGUAAGGUAACGGCUUACCAAGGCAACGAUGCGUAGCCGACCUGAGAGGGUGAUCGCCCACACGGGAACUGAGACACGGUCCAGACUCCUACGGGAGGCAGCAGUAGGGAAUCUUCCGCAAUGGGCGAAAGCCUGACGGAGCAACGCCGCGUGAGUGAUGAAGGUCUUCGGAUCGUAAAACUCUGUUAUUAGGGAAGAACAAAUGUGUAAGUAACUAUGCACGUCUUGACGGUACCUAAUCAGAAAGCCACGGCUAACUACGUG